GGAAGAGAAAAGUUGAGGACCUGAAACAAGAUCUGAGGAGAGAGAUGUGAGGAAAAUGGAUUUUGGAAAUGGAAGGAUUUACGGCUAGAGACUCUACGGCCUAGGCAUGGUGGUUCAGCAAGAUUCUACAACUUUCUGUCAAUGGCAACAAACUUUCCAGCAACUUUCUAGUGCACUGGCGUUGGAUUUUGUUAGGACAGAAAAUUUGGAGUCUGGUGGUGGUAUCCUUUGCUAGUGAGAGAGCUUGUUGGUGGUA
rnacentral:misc_RNA from 1 species